AGAAAAAACGCGCAAUUCAUAAUUUAAUUUAUUAACUAUAGAAUAAGCCAUUGAAUCACAAUAAAAAAAUUAAAACAAAAGAUUAUCAAAAGUCCGAUGUUAAAUGCUAAUUACUAUAGUCUAAAUAAAUAUAAAUAAUUAACUCUCUUUUAGCAACACUAUGCCUUCUAGAUUUGAUCGAACAAUAAGAAAAAUAUUACGACAGAGAUACAAAUAUCACGAAAAAAUAGUAAAUAUAAAGUACUAAAUUCUGUAAAAAAGGAAACAAAGAUAUCGCUUUCUUUAAUUUUCGAAAUGCAAAAUGAUUAUUGCACGUGCCGCGGUAUGCCUGAUGAAAUAAUCGGCUCGAUAGAAACAGAGACCAAAAUAUAAGAAUAUAAGGAUUGAAAUUACACAAAUAUCUUAAUUUUGUCUUAUACAAUUCGAUAGCUCUGCUACCAAAUGGCAUAAUUGAGGCAAGCGAUUAUCAAUUCAUGAAUUUUACUGAUAUGAAUUGUCUGAUGCAAAUUUUCUGUAGUUG